AUAUCUCUCUGUACGGGAAGGAUGAGAAGCUUCGACUAAGGUUCGAUUCGAGCGCAGCGAGAAAGCGUUGCCGCAGGCAACGACCCGAAGGGCGAAGCGCGCAGCGCUGAGUCAUCCUUCCCCCACCA
rnacentral:sRNA from 1 species